UACGUAGGGCGCAAGCGUUGUCCGGAAUUAUUGGGCGUAAAGAGCUCGUAGGCGGCUUGUCGCGUCGGCUGUGAAAACUCGGGGCUCAACCCCGAGCCUGCAGUCGAUACGGGCAGGCUGGAGUCCGGCAGGGGAGACUGGAAUUCCUGGUGUAGCGGUGAAAUGCGCAGAUAUCAGGAGGAACACCGGUGGCGAAGGCGGGUCUCUGGGCAGUAACUGACGCUGAGGAGCGAAAGCGUGGGGAGCGAACAGG
rnacentral:rRNA from 1 species